CUCGGCAAAUUAUCCUCAUAAGUUUGACGAUAAGAGGAACCACUAACCUACCCUUAAGGGUUAGGCGGGUGGUGUCACAAAAUCGGAGGCCACGACUGUUUACUAAAAACACAAUUCAGAGCAAUGAUGAAAAUCAUAGUAUUCUGGAUGAAAUUUGCCCGAUGCCAUUAACAUAAAAGAGGUAAUGGGAAACUGUUACUAAUUGAAAGUCUGGUUAAUAGCGGUCUUAACUAUGAGGAUCCUAAGGUAGCAAAAUCAGUUGGCCAUUAAAUGUGGUCUGGUAUCAAUAGUGUAACGAUGGUCUCACUGUCUCUACAACUUGCUCAGUGAAAUUGAAUUAUCCGUGCAGAUGCGGAUUGCCUCCAGGUGGACGGGAAGACCCUAU
rnacentral:rRNA from 1 species